rnacentral:lncRNA from 1 species
CUGGAAGUGACAGAAAAGCUAGUUACAAGCGUGGGCAGCUUUUCUCUCUAAGCCUCAGUUUUCUCAACUGUAAAAUGAAGAUAAUACCAACUUCAUGGAGUUGCUGUGAAGACUAACAUAAUAAUGUAUCCACAACACCUAACACGUAGUAUGUGCUCAAUAAACAGUAAAAUCAAUCAAGCUGAAUUUAAUCACUUAAAUAUUAAAUAGGAGAAAUGACACCUGUUUUUCAACCAUUUAUUUGUAGGACAGAGGUUUUUUUUGGGGAAAUUAAUGUGGUUCUUUCAUGAAAUUUUCCAUUCAUUAAGCCAUUAAGGAAAACUCUAUCCAGCAACAGGAGCUCACAUUGAUUGCUGGUGAGAAUUCCAAAAAUACUUUGGAAGAUAGUUUGGUAGUUUCUUACAAAGAUAACCACUCUCAUCUUCCCACCUUGCCCUCCGAAAGUGCUAGGAUUACAGGCAAGCCACCCACUGCAUAGCGAUAGUAAAAAGAUCAGUGGUUUUCAGGGGUUCAGGAGGAGAGAGGAACAAAGGGAUGAAUUGAUGGGGCAGAGGAGAUUUUAGGGCAGUGAAACUUUUGUGUGAUACUGGGAUGGUAGACACGUGAUAU